GGUGAGUAACACGUGGGUAACCUACCCGGAGGUGGGGGAUAACCCUUCGAAAGGAGGGCUAAUACCGCAUGACAUCGCGGGGACUUCGGUCCUUGCGAUCAAAGCUGGCCUCUGUUUACAAGCUAGCGCCACCGGAUGGGCCCGCGCCCCAUUAGCUAGUUGGUGAGGUAACGGCUCACCAAGGCGACGAUGGGUAGCCGGCCUGAGAGGGCGAUCGGCCACACUGGAACUGCGACACGGUCCAGACUCCUACGGGAGGCAGCAGUGAGGAACAUUGCGCAAUGGGCGAAAGCCUGACGCAGCGACGCCGCGUGGAGGAUGAAGGUCUUCGGAUUGUAAACUCCUGUCGAGUGGGACGAAUGCCGUGAGGGUGAAUACCCCUCGCGGUUGACGGUACCGCUGGAGGAAGCCCCGGCUAACUCCGUGCCAGCAGCCGCGGUAAUACGGAGGGGGCAAGCGUUGUUCGGAAUCAUUGGGCGUAAAGGGCGUGUAGGCGGUCGAUCAAGUCGGAGGUGAAAUCCCUCGGCUCAACUGAGGAAUUGCCUUCGAUACUGUUCGGCUUGAGUCCUGGAGAGGGUAGCGGAAUUCCCG
rnacentral:rRNA from 1 species